CGUACACUCCUGCGGGAGGCAGCAGUGGGGAAUAUUGCACAAUGGGCGCAAGCCUGAUGCAGCCAUGCCGCGUGUAUGAAGAAGGCCUUCGGGUUGUAAAGUACUUUCAGCGGGGAGGAAGGCGAUAAGGUUAAUAACCUUGUUGAUUGACGUUACCCGCAGAAGAAGCACCGGCUAACUCCGUGCCAGCAGCCGCGGUAAUACGGAGGGUGCAAGCGUUAAUCGGAAUUACUGGGCGUAAAGCGCACGCAGGCGGUCUGUCAAGUCGGAUGUGAAAUCCCCGGGCUCAACCUGGGAACUGCAUUCGAAACUGGCAGGCUAGAGUCUUGUAGAGGGGGGUAGAAUUCCAGGUGUAGCGGUGAAAUGCGUAGAGAUCUGGAGGAAUACCGGUGGCGAAGGCGGCCCCCUGGACAAAGACUGACGCUCAGGUGCGAAAGCGUGGGGAGCAAACAGGAUUAGAAACCCUAGUAGUCCC
rnacentral:rRNA from 1 species